rnacentral:rRNA from 1 species
AUUGAACGCUGGCGGCAUGCCUUACACAUGCAAGUCGAACGGCAGCGCGGGCUUCGGCCUGGCGCCGAGUGGCGAACGGGUGAGUAAUACACCGGAACGUGCCCUGUCGUGGGGGAUAGCUUGGCGAAAGCCGGAUUAAUACCGCAUCCGACCAUAUGUCGAAAGCGGGGGAUCUUCGGUUCUCGCGCUAUUUGAGCGGCCGAUGGCAGAUUAGCUAGUUGGUGGGGUAAAGGCCUACCAAGGCGACGAUCUGUAGCUGGUCUGAGAGGACGACCAGCCACACUGGGACUGAGACACGGCCCAGACUCCUACGGGAGGCAGCAGUGGGGAAUUUUGGACAAUGGGCGAAAGCCUGAUCCAGCAAUGCCGCGUGUGUGAUGAAGGCCUUCGGGUUGUAAAGCUCUUUUAGCGGGAACGAAAAGAACUGUGCCAAAACCGCGAUGCGAUGACGGUACCCGCAGAAUAAGCACCGGCUAACUACGUG